rnacentral:rRNA from 1 species
UACGUAGGGUGCAAGCGUUAAUCGGAAUUACUGGGCGUAAAGCGUGCGCAGGCGGUUCUAUAAGACAGAUGUGAAAUCCCCGGGCUCAACCUGGGAACUGCAUUUGUGACUGUAGAGCUGGAGUACGGCAGAGGGGGAUGGAAUUCCGCGUGUAGCAGUGAAAUGCGUAGAUAUGCGGAGGAACACCGAUGGCGAAGGCAAUCCCCUGGGCCUGUCUGACGCUCAUGCACGAAAGCGUGGGGAGCAAACAGG